rnacentral:rRNA from 1 species
CCCUUAGAUGUUCUGGGCUGCACGCGCGCUACACUGAUGCGCUCAACGAGUUUUAACCUUGCCUGGAAAGGUUGGGUAAUCUUUUUAAAACGCAUCGUGAUGGGGAUAGAUUAUUGCAAUUAUUAAUCUUCAACGAGGAAUUCCUAGUAAGCGCGAGUCAUCAGCUCGUGCUGAUUACGUCCCUGCCCUUUGUACACACCGCCCGUCGCUACUACCGAUUGAAUGGUUUAGUGAGAUCUCCGGAUUGGCGGCCUUGGUACCUUCACGGGUCCAACGGUUCUGCCGAGAAGCUGCUCGAACUUGAUCAUUUAGAGGAAGUAAAAGUCGUAACA